rnacentral:rRNA from 1 species
GGCUCAGGACGAACGCUGGCGGCGUGCUUAACACAUGCAAGUCGAACGAACUCCAACCACUCGCAAGAGUGGGGAAGAGUUAGUGGCGAACGGGUGAGUAACACGUGAGCAACCUGCCUCGAAGACUGGGAUAACAGCGGGAAACCGCUGCUAAUACCGGAUACCCCCAUCGGAUCGCAUGGUCUGAUGAGGAAACGAAUUUCGCUUCGAGAGGGGCUCGCGGGCUAUCAGCUUGUUGGUGGGGUAACGGCCCACCAAGGCUACGACGGCUAGCUGGUCUGAGAGGACGACCAGCCACACUGGGACUGAGACACGGCCCAGACUCCUACGGGAGGCAGCAGUGGGAAUCUUGCGCAAUGGGCGAAAGCCUGACGCAGCAACGCCGCGUGCGGGAUGAAUGCCUUCGGGUUGUAAACCGCUUUCAGCAGGGACGAAAUUGACGGUACCUGCAGAAGAGGCCCCGGCCAACUACGUGCCAGCAGCCGCGGUAAUACGUAGGGGGCGAGCGUUGUCCGGAUUCAUUGGGCGUAAAGCGCUUUAAGGCGGUUCGCUAAGUCGGGUGUGAAACCUCCAGGCUCAACCUGGAGACGCCACUCGAUACUGGCGUGACUAGAGUUCGGUAGGGGAUCACGGAAUUCCUGGUGUAGCGGUGAAAUGCGCAGAUAUCAGGAGGAACACCGGUGGCGAAGGCGGUGAUCUGGGCCGACACUGACGCUGUAGAGCGAAAGCGUGGGGAGCGAACAGGAUUAGAUACCCUGGUAGUCCACGCCGUAAACGUUGGGCACUAGGUGUGGGGGAUUAUCAACGUCCUCCGUGCCGUAGCUAACGCAUUAAGUGCCCCGCCUGGGGAGUA